rfam:Schistosoma mansoni, Puerto Rico, WGS project CABG01000000 data, contig: 0044
GUCCAAUUGACGAGUCCCAAAUAGGACGAAACGCGUGUCAUGGAU